rnacentral:rRNA from 1 species
AACGUAGGUUCCGAGCGUUAUCCGGAUUUACUGGGCGUAAAGCGCGUUCAGGCGGUUUGGCAAGUCGGGCAUGAAAUCCUUCGGCUCAACCGGGGGAGGUUGUCCGAUACUGCUAAACUGGAGGGCAGUAGAGGGUGGUGGAAUUCCGGGUGUAGUGGUGAAAUGCGUAGAGAUCCGGAGGAACACCGAUGGCGAAGGCAGGUCCCUGGGCUGACACUGACGCUCAUGCACGAAAGCGUGGGGAGCAAACAGG